AUGUCCUCUCCCAAAAGAAUAGAAGGCCCUGAUGGGACAAAUCUUCAGCUUCAAUUUAGAAGCAGGUUGUCUCUCCCACUCUUUACUGGUGGAAAAGUAGAAGGCGAGCAUGGGGCAGCUAUACAUGUUGUGCUGCUGGAUACCAACACUGGUUGUGUUGUCACUUCGGGACCUGAAUCAUGUGCAAAGCUGGAUGUUCUUGUGCUUGAGGGUGAUUUGAAUAAAGAGGAAGAUGAGGGUUGGACAGAAGAGGAGUUUGAAGGUCAUAUUGUCAAGGAGCGUGAAGGGAAAAGACCUCUCUUGACUGGUGACCUUCAGGUGACUCUUAAAGAAGGUGUUGGAACCAUAGGGGAGCUUAUCUUCACUGACAACUCCAGCUGGAUAAGAAGCAGGAAAUUCAGACUUGGGCUCAGGGUUGCCUCUGUUUUUUCUGAAGGUAUUCGUGUUAGGGAGGCGAAGACAAAAGCUUUUACUGUUAAGGAUCAUAGAGGGGAAUUGUACAAAAAACACUACCCUCCUGCUUUGAAGGAUGAUGUUUGGAGAUUAGAGAAGGUUGGCAAGGAUGGUGCAUUCCACAAGAAGUUAAAUGGAAGCGGAAUCUAUACAGUUGAAGAUUUUCUUCGGCUUCUUGUUAGGGAUCAACAGAGGUUGCGAAGUAUUCUUGGCAGUGGCAUGUCAAAUAAGAUGUGGGAAAGCCUUGUUGAGCAUGCAAAGACUUGUGUCUUAGGUGGAAAGCAUUAUAUAUAUUAUGUGAACGAUCCAAGAAAUGUCGGUGCAAUAUUCAAAAACAUAUAUGAGUUCACUGGCUUGAUUGCUGAUGAUCAGUUCAUUUCAGCUGAAAAUCUCACGGACAACCAAAAGUGUAUCACUCAGACUGGCCUGCGUUCAACAUGUUCACCGCACAUCCAGGCCCUUCCAGCAAUACACAUAAAUACACAGAUUUCUCUAGCUAAAUUCCAGUACUACACUUUCAAUGGAUACCAAAUAGACUAG
rnacentral:rRNA from 1 species